CUAAUACAUGCAAGUCGAGCGCGGGAAGCAAACUGAAUCCUUCGGGAGGACGUUUGUGGAACGAGCGGCGGACGGGUGAGUAACACGUGGGCAACCUGCCUGUAAGCUCGGGAUAACUAGCGGAAACGCUAGCUAAUACCGAAUAACGCUGCGCACCUCAUGGCGCGCAGAUGAAAGGCGGCGCAAGCUGCCACUUACAGAUGGGCCCGCGGCGCAUUAGCUAGUUGGUGGGGUAACGGCCUACCAAGGCGACGAUGCGUAGCCGACCUGAGAGGGUGAUCGGCCACACUGGGACUGAGACACGGCCCAGACUCCUACGGGAGGCAGCAGUAGGGAAUAUUCCGCAAUGGGCGAAAGCCUGACGGAGCGACGCCGCGUGAGCGAUGAAGGUCUUCGGAUCGUAAAGCUCUGUUGUUAGGGAAGAACAAGUACCGGAGUAACUGCCGGUACCUUGACGGUACCUAACCAGAAAGCCCCGGCUAACUACGUGCCAGCAGCCGCGGUAAUACGUAGGGGGCGAGCGUUGUCCGGAAUUAUUGGGCGUAAAGGGCGCGUAGGCGGUCUCUUAAGUCUGAUGUGAAAGCCCCCGGCUUAACCGGGGAGGGUCAUUGGAAACUGGGAGACUUGAGUGCAGGAGAGGGAAGCGGAAUUCCAUGUGUAGCGGUGAAAUGCGUAGAGAUAUGGAGGAACACCAGUGGCGAAGGCGG
rnacentral:rRNA from 1 species